CCUACGGGUGGCAGCAGUGAGGAAUAUUUGUCAAUGGGCGCGAGCCUGAACCAGCCAAGUAGCGUGAAGGCUGACUGCCCUACGGGUUGUACACCUCUUUUAUAACGGAAUCAAGUGAGGCACGUGUGCCUUUUUGUAUGUACUUUAUGAAUAAGGAUCGGCUAACUCCGUGCCAGCAGCCGCGGUAAUACGGAGGAUCCGAGCGUUAUCCGGAUUUAUUGGGUUUAAAGGGAGCGUAGAUGGGUUGUUAAGUCAGUUGUGAAAGUUUGCGGCUCAACCGUAAAAUUGCAAUUGAUACUGGCAGUCUUGAGGACAGUUGAGGUAGGCGGAAUGCGUGGUGUAGCGGUGAAAUGCUUAGAUAUCACGAAGAACUCCGAUUGCGAAGGCAGCUUACUAAACUGCCACUGACAUUGAUGCUCGAAAGUGUGGGUAUCAAACAGGAUUAGAUACCCGUGUAGUC
rnacentral:rRNA from 1 species